rnacentral:tRNA from 1 species
UCCCUGGUGGCUCAGAUUGUAAAGAGGCUGCCUGUAAUGCAGGAAACCCAGGUUCGAUCCCUGGAUUGGGAA